UUUUGGUAGGUGAACAAGUUGGGGUUCAGAAAGCAUUUCUAUGGCAGAGAAGAAUCCUUGGAAGCUAGGUCAAGAGCAAAUAAAUACCAGUGCUGAUGAAGCUGGAAAAUUCAAGUACUUUCUUCAAAAUAGCAUUUUUCUCUGGCAUUAUAAUUUUAGUUUGGAGUGCAGCAGUUACUGAAUUCCUGGGACUGAUUUGAUACAGGUGUGGUACUGCACUUCCUAUUGAAGGGAGGUGAUGCAGGUAAGCAGCAAGAAGAAAAUCAAGCUCUUGCAUAACAAUUCAGGGGCAGUUUUUUCUCCAUUUUGAUUUUGCUAUGAGAUUAUUGUGAGCUGUAAAGAAUUACUGUAAGUUGUGUGAAAUUCCAUGUUGUGUUGAACAGCACAUUAAACUUAA